CCUACGGGAGGCUGCAGUGAGGAAUAUUGGUCAAUGGGCGCGAGCCUGAACCAGCCAAGUAGCGUGAAGGAUGACUGCCCUACGGGUUGUAAACUUCUUUUAUAAAGGAAUAAAGUGAGGCACGUGUGCCUUUUUGUAUGUACUUUAUGAAUAAGGAUCGGCUAACUCCGUGCCAGCAGCCGCGGUAAUACGGAGGAUCCGAGCGUUAUCCGGAUUUAUUGGGGUUAAAGGGAGCGUAGAUGGGUUGUUAAGUCAGUCGUGAAAGUUUGGGGCUCAACCGUAAAAUUGCAAUUGAUACUGGCAGCCUUGAGUACAGGUGAGGUAGGCGGAAUUCGUGGUGUAGCGGUGAAAUGCUUAGAUAUCACGAAGAACUCCGAUUGCGAAGGCAGCUUACUAAACUGCCACUGACACUGAGGCUCGAAAGUGUGGGUAUCAAACAGGAUUAGAUACCCGAGUAGUC
rnacentral:rRNA from 1 species